rnacentral:lncRNA from 1 species
CUGGAUGCUCAAGAGCAGAGGAUCUAUCAACUGCAGACCAAGCAGAGGCAGAGGCAGGCAGAACCGGAGCAGUAAUGCAGCCAGAUCCAGCAGCUCAGCCAGGAGCUGGAGGCCACCGCCAGCUGCAGGAGGAAGCUCGGACACAGCGUGACUGAGGAAAAUCACAACAUCAGCUGCAUGUAAGAAACUCCUGGAAAGAAGAACAAAGCCAUCUGUUCUCCAUGUCCAUGAAGGCACGCACAAGAACUAAUGGGCGUAUCCUGCAUCAAGAAAGAUUCAGGUUAGGAACAGCUUCUAAUGGAGAGGAGAACAAAGCAGAUGAACAGACUGCCAGGGGCCUGAGGUUUCUGCAUCACAGGAGAUCUUCAAGGACAGAUGAACAGAAGACAAGGCACCUGCUCGUUCACAGGAGACUGGCUGAGGAGCACACUCAUUUGAUGUUUUCUCAGAAGAUACAAAAAAAAAAAAAAAAAAAAGUCGGAGAAUCACUGCAUGAUAAGAAGAUGGAGGAUUUGUGA